rnacentral:rRNA from 1 species
AACGGAGGGGGCAAGCGUUAUUCACCUUGACUGGGCGUAAAGGGUUUGUAGAUGGUUUUUUAUUUAAAAAGUAAGUAAUCUAAGCACAACUUUUGAAGUUAUUUUUUAAACGAAAAAGCUAGGGAUAUUCAGAAGUAAGUUGCAUUUCUAAAGUAGGGGUGAAAUUCUUGCAUAGUAGAAAGACAGUCAAUUGGCGAAAGCUACUUACUAGGAAUAGUCUAACGUUGAGAAACGAAAGCAUGGGGAUCAAACAGG